rnacentral:rRNA from 1 species
ACGUAGGGGGCUAGCGUUAUCCGGAAUUACUGGGCGUAAAGGGUGCGUAGGUGGUUUCUUAAGUCAGAGGUGAAAGGCUACGGCUCAACCGUAGUAAGCCUUUGAAACUGGGAAACUUGAGUGCAGGAGAGGAGAGUGGAAUUCCUAGUGUAGCGGUGGAAUGCGUAGAUAUUAGAAGGAACACCAGUUGCGAAGGCGGCUCACUGGACUGUAACGGACACUGAUGCGCGAAAGCGUGAGAAGCGUUCAG